UCCCACAUUACGCUGACACGCCACGAUAUACAAUGUAUAUGUUCAAUCAUUAAUGUGUUUAUCAUUAUCCAUGCCAGGUAAAACCAAUGGAAGUCAAACAACCGAAACCACGAGAGUGGCUCUAACAACCAGAUCAAGUGUAGAGAGUGUUGAUACCCGAGUCAUCAUUCCUGUUGUUGUCGUCACAGUACUUGUCCUUGUGGCCUCUAUCUGCACAGUGAUUAUCUUGAAGAGAUGCAGAAAGAGGGAAGUACCAGACCCAGAAGGGCAAGAUUUAUUAGCAA